AAAUUGAAGAGUUUGAUCAUGGCUCAGAUUGAACGCUGGCGGCAGGCCUAACACAUGCAAGUCGAGCGGUAGCACAGAGAGCUUGCUCUCGGGUGACGAGCGGCGGACGGGUGAGUAAUGUCUGGGAAACUGCCUGAUGGAGGGGGAUAACUACUGGAAACGGUAGCUAAUACCGCAUAAUGUCGCAAGACCAAAGUGGGGGACCUUCGGGCCUCAUGCCAUCAGAUGUGCCCAGAUGGGAUUAGCUAGUAGGUGGGGUAACGGCUCACCUAGGCGACGAUCCCUAGCUGGUCUGAGAGGAUGACCAGCCACACUGGAACUGAGACACGGUCCAGACUCCUACGGGAGGCAGCAGUGGGGAAUAUUGCACAAUGGGCGCAAGCCUGAUGCAGCCAUGCCGCGUGUGUGAAGAAGGCCUUCGGGUUGUAAAGCACUUUCAGCGGGGAGGAAGGCGUUAAGGUUAAUAACCUUGGCGAUUGACGUUACCCGCAGAAGAAGCACCGGCUAACUCCGUGCCAGCAGCCGCGGUAAUACGGAGGGUGCAAGCGUUAAUCGGAAUUACUGGGCGUAAAGCGCACGCAGGCGGUCUGUCAAGUCGGAUGUGAAAUCCCCGGGCUCAACCUGGGAACUGCAUUCGAAACUGGCAGGCUAGAGUCUUGUAGAGGGGGGUAGAAUUCCAGGUGUAGCGGUGAAAUGCGUAGAGAUCUGGAGGAAUACCGGUGGCGAAGGCGGCCCCCUGGACAAAGACUGACGCUCAGGUGCGAAAGCGUGGGGAGCAAACAGGAUUAGAUACCCUGGUAGUCCACGCCGUAAACGAUGUCGAUUUGGAGGUUGUGCCCUUGAGGCGUGGCUUCCGGAGCUAACGCGUUAAAUCGACCGCCUGGGGAGUACGGCCGCAAGGUUAAAACUCAAAUGAAUUGACGGGGGCCCGCACAAGCGGUGGAGCAUGUGGUUUAAUUCGAUGCAACGCGAAGAACCUUACCUGGUCUUGACAUCCACAGAACUUAGCAGAGAUGCUUUGGUGCCUUCGGGAACUGUGAGACAGGUGCUGCAUGGCUGUCGUCAGCUCGUGUUGUGAAAUGUUGGGUUAAGUCCCGCAACGAGCGCAACCCUUAUCCUUUGUUGCCAGCGGUUAGGCCGGGAACUCAAAGGAGACUGCCAGUGAUAAACUGGAGGAAGGUGGGGAUGACGUCAAGUCAUCAUGGCCCUUACGACCAGGGCUACACACGUGCUACAAUGGCAUAUACAAAGAGAAGCGACCUCGCGAGAGCAAGCGGACCUCAUAAAGUAUGUCGUAGUCCGGAUUGGAGUCUGCAACUCGACUCCAUGAAGUCGGAAUCGCUAGUAAUCGUAGAUCAGAAUGCUACGGUGAAUACGUUCCCGGGCCUUGUACACACCGCCCGUCACACCAUGGGAGUGGGUUGCAAAAGAAGUAGGUAGCUUAACCUUCGGGAGGGCGCUUACCACUUUGUGAUUCAUGACUGGGGUGAAGUCGUAACAAGGUAACCGUAGGGGAACCUGCGGUUGGAUCACCUCCUUACCUUAAAGAA
rnacentral:rRNA from 1 species